UACAGAGGUCUCAAGCGUUGUUCGGAUUCAUUGGGCGUGAAGGGUGCGUAGGCGGCGCGGUAAGUCGGGUGUGAAAUCUUGGAGCUUAACUCCGAAACUGCAUUCGAUACUGCCGUGCUUGAGGACUGGAGAGGAGACUGGAAUUUACGGUGUAGCGGUGAAAUGCGUAGAUAUCGUAAGGAAGACCAGUGGCGAAGGCGGGUCUCUGGACAGUUCCUGACGCUGAGGCACGAAGGCCAGGGGAGCAAACAGG
rnacentral:rRNA from 1 species